rnacentral:rRNA from 1 species
CCUACGGGUGGCAGCAGUGAGGAAUAUUGGUCAAUGGGCGCAAGCCUGAACCAGUCAAGUAGCGUGAAGGAUGACUGCCCUACGGGUUGUAAACUUCUUUUAUAAAGGAAUAAAGUGAGGCACGUGUGCCUUUUUGUAUGUACUUUAUGCAUAAGGAUCGGCUAACUCCGUGCCAGCAGCCCCGGUAAUACGGAGGAUACGGGCGUGAUCCGGAUUUAUUGGGUUUAAAGGGAGCGUAGAUGGGUUGUUAAGUCCGUUGUGAAAGUUUGCGGCUCAACCGUAAAAUUGAAAUUGAAACUGGAAGGCUUGAGUACAGUUGAGGUAGGCGGAAUUCGUGGUGUAGCGGUGAAAUGCUUAGAUAUCACGAAGAACUCCGAUUGCGAAGGCAGCUUACUAAACUGCCACUGACAUUGAGGCUCGAAAGUGUGGGUAUCAAACAGGAUUAGAUACCCUUGUAGUC